UUAACUCAAAUUUGUAUGAAGUUGGAACAGCUUCCCUUCCUUUGCUAGGGGCGCUGUUCCAACAUCAUACAAAUUUGAGUUA
rfam:Bombyx mori DNA, contig: Bm_scaf165_contig40737, strain: p50T/Dazao, build 2, whole genome shotgun sequence.